GAGCGAACGAAUGCUGGCACCUGCCCAGGGUUACGAGGCUGAACAGGAUUUUGCCAGUUGAAAAGCUCACACCUGGAGAGAAUGCACGCGAGCUAUUUGAACUCCCUGAAAAGACUGGAUACCAAAGUAACACCAAACUGGUGUCUUGUACCCCAGCAACCAAACUAUGUGGUGGCCGGAACAGCAGCAGCAGUGGGAGCUGGCAGGAAGCUGAAACUCUAAGGGAGGGGCGCCUGAAUGGCUCAGCCAUUAAGUGUCUGCCUUCGGC